rnacentral:rRNA from 1 species
ACCGGAGCUAAUACCGGAUAGUUCCUUGAACCGCAUGGUUCAAGGAUGAAAGACGGUUUCGGCUGUCACUUACAGAUGGACCCGCGGCGCAUUAGCUAGUUGGUGGGGUAAUGGCUCACCAAGGCGACGAUGCGUAGCCGACCUGAGAGGGUGAUCGGCCACACUGGGACUGAGACACGGCCCAGACUCCUACGGGAGGCAGCAGUAGGGAAUCUUCCGCAAUGGACGAAAGUCUGACGGAGCAACGCCGCGUGAGUGAUGAAGGUUUUCGGAUCGUAAAGCUCUGUUGUUAGGGAAGAACAAGUGCGAGAGUAACUGCUCGCACCUUGACGGUACCUAACCAGAAAGCCACGGCUAACUACGUGCCAGCAGCCGCGGUAAUACGUAGGUGGCAAGCGUUGUCCGGAAUUAUUGGGCGUAAAGGGCUCGCAGGCGGUUUCUUAAGUCUGAUGUGAAAGCCCCCGGCUCAACCGGGGAGGGUCAUUGGAAACUGGGAAACUUGAGUGCAGAAGAGGAGAGUGGAAUUCCACGUGUAGCGGUGAAAUGCGUAGAGAUGUNGGAGGAACACCAGUGGCGAAGGCGACUCUCUGGUCUGUAACUGACGCUGAGGAGCGAAAGCGUGGGGAGCGAACAGGAUUAGAUACCCUGGUAGUCCACGCCGUAAACGAUGAGUGCUAAGUGUUAGGGGGUUUCCGCCCCUUAGUGCUGCAGCUAACGCAUUAAGCACUCCGCCUGGGGAGUACGGUCGCAAGNACUGAAACUCAAAGGAAUUGACGGGGGCCCGCACAAGCGGUGGAGCAUGUGGUUUAAUUCGAAGCAACGCGAAGAACCUUACCAGGUCUUGACAUCCUCUGACAACCCUAGAGAUAGGGCUUUCCCUUCGGGGACAGAGUGACAGGUGGUGCAUGGUUGUCGUCAGCUCGUGUCGUGAGAUGUUGGGUUAAGUCCCGCAACGAGCGCAACCCUUGAUCUUAGUUGCCAGCAUUUAGUUGGGCACUCUAAGGUGACUGCCGGUGACAAACCGGAGGAAGGUGGGGAUGACGUCAAAUCAUCAUGCCCCUUAUGACCUGGGCUACACACGUGCUACAAUGGACAGAACAAAGGGCUGCAAGACCGCAAGGUUUAGCCAAUCCCAUAAAUCUGUUCUCAGUUCGGAUCGCAGUCUGCAACUCGACUGCGUGAAGCUGGAAUCGCUAGUAAUCGCGGAUCAGCAUGCCGCGGUGAAUACG